UAAAUUCUCGAGGGAUGAAUUUCUUGGUCUUCUUGUCCUCAUAAGAUGCACGUCAAUCCAAACCCUUCGUCAGGUAGAUAUACUGGCCCACUGGGAACUUGACCUCGACCUCAGAUAAAGCUGGUCCGCCCGCCCAUAUGACCAUAGGCCAUUUCGAGCAUGCUUUGCGUGCCCUAUUAAAUGAGUGGUUUGGAUCUCCCACACAUGCGCAUUAUCAGGCAUAUGUGGCCCUAUAGUAAUAGCAUACGUUGUCUUUCUGCAAAAUUUCAUGUUGUUGUAAAGCGGGAAUCGCAAUCACAGAUUUUGAGACACUUCAAAUUUGUAAAGUUUACACCUCUUUUAGUUGAUGAAUGUUUCAAUCCAUCUCAAGCCCACGGACACCGACCAGUACGCCCUUAAACACUGAGUGAAAGAUACCUCGUUUCAACACUGAGGUCCUAGUAUCGAUUCCCUAUUACGGGUGGCUAAUAGGAAAGUAUGCCCCACAUUGAUGAUUUUUGGACUAAAAAAUGUGGCCAAUCUAUUAAUCAGAUGGGCUGCAUUCGUACAUUGACCAAAUAGGUUGCUCCCAAUAUUCUUAAGGGCGGGGGCCUACCUUUCCAGCGCUCAGAUGGGGAACAAUGCAAUCCAAUUAGUUGAUUAGGAGUUCAGUAACAUGCUCGUCCCAUGAUUGGGCCACCGAAGUUCUGGAUCAAGUUGAUAUUUGUUUUUUUUUUUUUUUUUUCUGUUCAUCGAGGUCUAUGUGACCUUAUUAACAUAUUGGAUGGUAACUAUAUAUCAUUUAAUGGAAAAUAAACAUCACGGUGGUCCCUAGGAAGGUUUCAACUGUGGGUGCCAUUGCUUC